UAGGAAGUAGCUUUCCCUUCAAGGGUCCCA
rnacentral:piRNA from 1 species